GCGUGACUUAUCAGCCCCGUAAGUGGGGAACGUGUGAAAGCCUUUGGGGAGAAACCAGAAGGAGCUGCCCCGAGGCCAAACACAGAGACCCAGCACAUCCUUCCACCUGAGGCCAGUGGCAGGCCCUGCCCCACCCAGAAAAGGUGCCAGAGGUGAGGGACCCCGCUCCUUCCACCCUCCUGCUGUGAGACACAACCUCCUCAGCCAGGGCAGGUCCCUGUGGGGCUGCUGCCUAAGUGAGCACGUCUUCCCAUCUCCCCUGAGGGACCCACAGAGAAGACAGAGAGAUGAGGUCUGGUCCCCCCACAGUGGGUGUUGCAGCCAUGCUCGAGGAACAGGACUCAAGGCACAGAGGCGCCCCUCCAAGGUGAUACACAACUCCCAUCUGGAAACUGUGCCCUGCAGCAUCCCCCAAACACAGCCACACACAGGCAAGUCUCCUGGGGCUCUGGGAAGUGCUAUUUGCAGGCCGGGCCCCUGGCAGGAAGGGCGCGGCUCACUACUGCUCCAAAGUCCCAGGUGGGAGCCUGCUUGUACCCCCACUGCUGCCCACCAAGCCCCUGGACCGGCGGGACAUGGCUGGUGCUGCAUGAGGCCCCUCAGAGGUGCCAGUAGGCCUGGCCCCGGCUCCAGGUCAUGGGAGAAUGCAGGGCCUCCACCUGCCAGGAGGGAGGUUUCUGCUAAAGCCAGACCCACCUACUGCUUAAGUCCUCUCGCAGCCCAGGAGCCUCCUCCGGGGCCGAGUCAGAGAGCUCAAGUGGGUCCAGGUGGCCCAUCUGGAGGUCAGUGUCCCAGCAGACUGCCUGCCUAGGGGUGACGGGCUCUCCAGGCCACUUGCCUCCUCCUGCUCUGGGCCUGGCCGUGCCUGACUGAGAAAGGACCAGCCAGACUGGAUCAGAGGACUUGGGACCAGCUCAGCUGCUUCCAGCCAGGGGUGGGUGGCCAAGCAGAGAGGAAGAAAGAAGCGCUUGCCUUCAGGGCAUCUGUGUGCACACACAUUGCAGGUGUACAUGCGGGUGUGCGUGUGUGUGCUGUGAGCGAGUGUGUGCGCGCAUAAGCUCGGCCCUUUGCACCCUUGCUCCCGGACCCCAGGGCUGUGGCAAGAACUGCACAGACCCUCAGAAGUGCACCCACGCCUGGGCCUCAAGCGACAGUGCUCAGACAGGGUCACUGAGGAGAGCAUGGGGCUCCUCUCCAGCCACCGUCUCGGGGAGCAGAGGGCCCCUCUCCGCUGAGGUGGAGCUCACGUGUCGUUCCUGCAAACCCCGAGAUCGGAGCUAGCCUGGCUCAGCACCCUGCACUCGCUCUCCCCAAACGUGUCUUCCUGUAAUCACUGGAGCAUCUUCAGGAAAACUCCAUAAGGUGUUACUUAUUUCCCGUUGCAUUUAUAUUUACCUGCUUGUUCAUUGUGGAAAACAUGGCAAAUGCGGAAAACUUGAAAGAUG
rnacentral:lncRNA from 1 species